UUAAAAUCGAUCCCUCCUUUCCUUCUCAUUCUCUUCUCUUCUCUUCUCUUCUCUUCUUCUUCUUCCUCUUUCCGUUCUCUGUUCCUAUGCUCUGAUCGAUUUAUGAGAUGAGAGUGAAUCCUAUUUGAGGGAAUCAUAUAUUCAAGAUGAUUAGAUGAAGAAGGUGACGGCGCUGAAAGUUAUUUGAGCUCGGGAGAAGGAGGAGUGGUGUUGUUGUAAUUGAUUUAGGGGUUUCUGGAGAGGAUUGAAUUUGUGAGAGUUUGAUGAUGAAGUCGAGCAUUAGAUGAUGGGUUUUCAUCAUUGAGAACAAAGUAGAAGAAUUAUGUACUAUUUUCAGUUGUUUCAAAUAUGAACUGAAGAGUUAGGGUUUGUAAAUUAAACAUUGGAUUCGUAUGGAAUAGGUAAGUUAAUUAGGUUGUUGAUGGAUGAAGAAUAGAAGGGUUGGGGUUUGAUUGCAGUUUUGAAGCUGUUUUAGAGAAGAUCAAUUGAAGAAUUAGGGUUCUGCAUGUUGUGUUGGAGUUCGAAUUGGGCAAGAUUGAGAAGAUUUAGAUAAAUUGAAGAUGGGUAUUGAAUGAUUAAGUGGAUUAGAGUUGAAAUACAGAUGGAAUCAAGACUUAAGUGAAGAAAGGUUAAUUCAGAGAUAAGUUGGGGUUUAUGUUCUUCCUUAAAACAUGAAUUAGGUUCUUGGUGGAAAUAAUUUGGUGAUUUAACAAUUCAGAGAACGUGAAUUGCUGGUUAUUUUGGAUGCAUUGAUUGUGGUGUUGAUUACUGGUGGUGGUAUGAAUGAAUUGGGGAUUGAAUAUCAGUUGAGUAUUGUGUUGCUGUUUAAGAGGACUGUGUAAUGGAAUUUCAGGUGGAGGUAUUGAGAUGUAGUUGAAGUUAAAUUUACUGGUAGAGACUCUGUUGGGUUAUAUAAGGAUGCUUGAGUUGAAGCAAUUGGUUGUUAAUGAUAUAUUGGGUAAACGAAAUGCAGGUGAUAAGGUUUUCGUUAUGCUGAUUGUCGCAGAACUGGAGUGGAGUUACAGUUCAAGUACUGGUGCAGGCAGUGUGUACAGGAUUUGGAAUUGAUUAGUUGCAAAAUAGAGUUGAGUGGGUAUUGCAGUUGGAGCGAGUGUCAUUGUACUACUGAGAAUGGUGAUUGUAGAGAUGUAGUUAGUGCUUGCAGUGGAAGCUUGCAACUUCUGCUCUUAUAAGUAGGCUAUGUUAUUUUGUAUAUCAAUUUUGAGUUAUAAGUUGAAUGAAUUAUUGCAAUGAAAAAGUUUAAGUUGAACUGA